rnacentral:rRNA from 1 species
GUUUGAUCAUGGCUCAGAUUGAACGCUGGCGGCAGGCUUAACACAUGCAAGUCGAGCGGUAACAGGGGUGCUUGCACCCCGCUGACGAGCGGCGGACGGGUGAGUAAUGCAUAGGAAACUGCCCAGUAGUGGGGGAUAGCCCGGGGAAACCCGGAUUAAUACCGCGUACGCCUUCGGGGGAAAGCAGGGGAUCUUCGGACCUUGCGCUAUUGGAUGUGCCUAUGUCGGAUUAGCUAGUUGGUGGGGUAAAGGCCUACCAAGGCGACGAUCCGUAGCUGGUCUGAGAGGAUGAUCAGCCACAUCGGGACUGAGACACGGCCCGAACUCUACGGGAGGCAGCAGUGGGGAAUAUUGGACAAUGGGGGCAACCCUGAUCCAGCCAUGCCGCGUGUGUGAAGAAGGCUUUCGGGUUGUAAAGCACUUUCAGUGAGGAGGAAAACUCUGCGACUAAUACUCGUAGGGCUUGACGUUACUCACAGAAGAAGCACCGGCUAACUCCGUGCCAGCAGCCGCGGUAAUACGGAGGGUGCAAGCGUUAAUCGGAAUUACUGGGCGUAAAGCGCGCGUAGGUGGUUUGAUAAGCGAGAUGUGAAAGCCCCGGGCUUAACCUGGGAACGGCAUUUCGAACUGUCAGGCUAGAGUAUGGUAGAGGGUAGUGGAAUUCCUGUGUAGCGGUGAAAUGCGUAGAUAUAGGAAGGAACACCAGUGGCGAAGGCGGCUACCUGGACCAAUACUGACACUGAGGU